rnacentral:rRNA from 1 species
AUUGAACGCUGGCGGCAGGCCUAACACAUGCAAGUCGAACGAGUGGCGGACGGGUGAGUAAUGUCUGGGAAACUGCCUGAUGGAGGGGGAUAACUACUGGAAACGGUAGCUAAUACCGCAUACCAUCGGAUGUGCCCAGAUGGGAUUAACUAGUAGGUGGGGUAACGGCUCACCUAGGCGACGAUCCCUAGCUGGUCUGAGAGGAUGACACGCCACACUGGAACUGAGACAAGGUCCAGACUCCUACGGGAGGCAGCAGUGGGGAAUAUUGCACAAUGGGCGCAAGCCUGAUGCAGCCAUGCCGCGUGUAUGAAGAAGGCCUUCGGGUUGUAAAGUACUGUCAGCGGGGAGGCGUUACCCGAAGAAGAAGCAACGGCUAACUCCGUGCCAGCGGCCGCGGUAAUAC